UUGAGUUAUAUUUUGACUUUUGGUCCUUUUUUUUUUUUUUUGAGGUCCUUUCCUAUUGAAAGGGGCGAUAGCAUAUUAAACUCACACACACAACACGGAUGCUAGGACUCGAACCCAGGACCUUGCCCGAGGGAGUAAAUACUCCAAACCACUACACUAGUGGGUCCUUUGCGACUUUUGGUCCUUUGAUGUAUUAAGAUAUAAUUCCUCAGAAAUUGUGUGAUCAACAUGUUGAUAGUGUGUGUUACACAUAAAAUGUGCAUGAACUUCCUUGUUUCUGAGAUUAAAUAAGACACUCAUUUGAAGUGAUCUCUCAUAUGCCUUAUAUGUAAAUGCAUUUCCUAGUUUCAUCAGGUGGAGUAGAUCUGUUAAUGGCCUCUUUUGUUUCUGGUGGUUUCUAGGUCUAAAUACAAUCUGUUAAAAUCAAGACUAGACUAGAAAACGCAGGGAUGCAAUCAUUGUAUGUAUGCCAAAAAGAACCAGAAGUUGUUUUGAGAUCUCCUUAUUCGCUGUCUGUUAGUAAUACGGAUCACAGUCCUUUGAUCAUGGAAUUAAAUAUCUUUUUUGUUUUAUAUAAUGAUUGUAUGACAACUAUAUGAAAAUAAUUAAUCACAGACCUUUACCACUUAAAUCAUUGUAGGAUAUAAUCAAUUGACUUUUGCUUACGGUGUAAGAUUGCCUUUUGAGAGGACGCAUUAAAUGGGUAGGCCUUAAAAAUGCUUAUUUUGUUUACUCUUAAGUCAAAGAAUCUUAUUCUGUUACUUGAAUCGUGGCAUAGUCAAUUGAUUAAAGGGGACCUGCUUUGAAGUUAACCUCGUCUUUAACAUGAGUGAUGCGUGUUUUUUUAUCAUCUGAAAUGAGAAAAACUUUUAACUCUUUUUCCUUUUAAUUUCUCAACUUUCUUUGCAAAGCUAAGAUAGAAAUACAGGAGGACACUCUAUCGUGCAUCUUUUUAGAAUCUGCUUAUAUUUGCAGGCGCGAUUGGGGAAACUCUCUGCAAAAGGCAUCAAAUUUGUUGGAGCUAUAUCUGGAUGGACAGCUACACUUCUUUUCAUGUGGAUGCCAAUUUCGCAAAUGGUACUGUUUUAGAAUUUCUAGUGUAAAUUUUUGUAUACAUCUGACACCAAUUGGUGCUUUCUGUUCAGUGGACAAAUUUCCUAAAUCCUGACAACAUCAAAGGUUUAUCAGCUUUCUCGAUGUUGCUUGCAAUGAUUGGAAAUGGACUUAUGAUCCCACGUGCCCUUUUUAUUCGUGAUUUUAUGUGGUAAUUAUCUUUUUCAAUGUACUUCUUAAACUGCUCUAGUGGUUGAUCUAUCUGUUGAUUUAAUAAUGCGUUUAUAUUACUGAGUUUAAGUAAGAAUAACGGUAAACAAUGACUGCAGGUUCACUGGUUCUACCUGGGCUUCUUUGUUUUAUGGAUAUGGGAAUAUCGUGUGCUUGUAUUGGUAAUUGUUCCUGAUUUAUGGUUAUUCAUAGUUUCUAAUGUUCUUUUGGUAGAAAGUUUGAUCUCUACUAAGAAACGGUAUCUUAUUUGUAAUUCCAGGUUCAACAGUAUCAGCAAGGAAUUUUUCUUAGCAGCAACAGCUGGUUUGAUUUUGUGGAUAGGUUGUUUCUUUUUCCAGUAUUAUCAAUUCUUACAUCAUCCCCCUCUGAAAAACGAUAGUAUCAGCAAAGAAAAUAAUCAGAUCUAAUAUGAACAUUUUCUCACUUUAUGCUUAGGCCGAUUAAGCAUUCGGCAUAACGAGCUCUGAUAUUUUUCUCCUUACAGGAAUGACUCUAUGGAGAGAUGCUGAUGUCUAUGGAUACAACUCACCUUUCACAUCUUUGAAAGAGUUAGUUUCUGGGUCCUAAAUUCAAAAGUCUGAGGUGAUACUGCCAAAAUGCCCAAAAGAUCUUAAAGCGAUCUGGUAUGGCAAUAUCAAGGCAUGAGAUAUAACAAAUCUUCUCCACUGCAAUGUCAAUGCUUGAUUCUUGUUGCGGUCAUUGCAGCUGGGCAAUUGUUAAGGAUAGCUGCUUGGAAAUUUAUUCCUCACAGUGGCAUGAAUAAUGCGUCUGGUAGAAUGUCUGAUGAUAAUGUGUAGUCUAAUUCCAAUUAAUAAUGUAAGUAAAACUCCAUGGCCUAUCUUUACAGUGGCCUGCUUGGUAAUGUACGAGAAUGCAACUCCAGCAACCUCACAUAUAUGCAAUCACACCGUUUUCUGCCUGGUUUGCAGCCCCCCUUUCUUUUGGGCAGCACAAUUGUGUCGAUUAUAAAUCAGGCUGAACUUUAACCAACACAGUUAUUUAGAAAUUUCCAAUUAAGUUUCUUUGGGUAGAAAUUCUUACAUAGUGCUGCAUCUCCUAGGAGUAAUUUUUCGAUGUGACAUACCGUCAUAUUUGUAUUACAAUAGACCAAACUCAUGCAGUUGUUAGGUCUAAUUCCGAUGGGCAGAGGAGAGGUUGGUGCCCCUAGCUCCUUCUCCUCAUCUUUAUGUUUCUUCAUAUUUUUUUCAUUCUAAUGUUUUCUAAUUUUUUUUCUCUUUCACAUGGGUUUUGAUGGCAAGUGGGAGGCACUCUUUUUCCUUGUGUGGAUUUUCCUCUUUUUUGGGGGGUAUUUUCAAUUUCAAAGGCUUUUUUUUUUUAGGAAUUUUUCUAUUAAGAGGGGCGAUAGCAUACUAAACUCACACACACUACACGGAUGCUAGGACUCGAACCCAGGACCUUGCCUGAGGAAGUAAAUACUCCAUACCACUACACUAGUGGAUCCUUUGCAUGUCGAAGGUUUUAAGAGGCCUAAGCUUGUACAUCUUGUUUUCCUUUUUUCAUUGUAUUAUGCUGUUUAGUUAAUGAAUUAAAUUAAUUUACCUAGAUUUACAAAAAGCCUUGCUCAUUUUAGUCUUUUUGCAAAGGGGUAUUGUUUUCAUUAAAGAAAAAGGAACUUCGAGCAUCCACAAUCAUGCUCUCUAAUUUUUAGUUAAAAUUUAGCUAAAAACACUAGAAAGCUAUUUUAGGAGCUCUCUAUAAAAUUUCAACUCCAA
rnacentral:lncRNA from 1 species